AGCUCCAAUAGCGUAUCUUAAUGUUGUUGCAGUUAAAAAGCUCGUAGUCGAAUUUCUGGCCAGAGCACGAUCCAAUUCUGGUAUCGGAGCUCUAGGUCAUCCGCCUGUGAUCAGAUAUCGUGGUUUAACCCUCGUGUUUAGGAGCAGGCAUUUUACUUUGAAGAAAUCAGAGUGUUUCAGGCAGGCUUUCGCUUGAAUACACCAGCAUGGAAUAAUGGAAAAGGACUGGAUCUUGUUAUUGGUCACUAGAUCUAGUAAUGAUUAAUAGGGACAGUUGGGGGCAUUCGUAUUUGAUAGUCAGAGGUGAAAUUCUUCGAUUUAUCAAAGACGAACUAAUGCGAAGGCAUCUGCCAAGGAUGUUUUCA
rnacentral:rRNA from 1 species